rnacentral:misc_RNA from 1 species
GACGUAGGGGGCGAGCGUUAUCCGGAUUUACUGGGCGUAAAGGGCGCGUAGGCGGCUGCGUAAGUCCGGCGUGAAAUACCACGGCUCAACUGUGGAAUUGCGUCGGAUACUGCGCUGGCUUGAGGACGGUAGAGGCUAGUGGAACUAGCGGUGUAGCGGUGAAAUGCGCAGAUAUCGCUAGGAACGCCGGUGGCGAAGGCGACUGGCUGGGCCGAUCCUGACGCUGAGGCGCGAAAGCUAGGGGAGCGAACCGG